rnacentral:rRNA from 1 species
ACUGCGGUGAAUACGUUCCCGGGUCUUGUACACACCGCCCGUCAAACCAUGAAAGUCACCAACACCCGAAGUCCGAUUCGUCGGCCUAAGGUGGGGGGAGUGAUUGGGGUU